rnacentral:rRNA from 1 species
ACCCUUUAAUGUUUGAUGUUCUAACGUUGCCCCGUUAUCCGGGGUGCGGACAGUGUCUGGUGGGUAGUUUGACUGGGGCGGUCUCCUCCCAAAGAGUAACGGAGGAGCACGAAGGUUGGCUAAGCAUGGUCGGACAUCAUGCGGUUAGUGCAAAGGCAUAAGCCAGCUUGACUGCGAGAGUGACGGCUCGAGCAGGUACGAAAGUAGGUCUUAGUGAUCCGGUGGUUCUGAAUGGAAGGGCCAUCGCUCAACGGAUAAAAGGUACUCCGGGGAUAACAGGCUGAUACCGCCCAAGAGUUCAUAUCGACGGCGGUGUUUGGCACCUCGAUGUCGGCUCAUCACAUCCUGGGGCUGAAGUAGGUCCCAAGGGUACGGCUGUUCGCCGUUUAAAGUGGUACGCGAGCUGGGUUUAGAACGUCGUGAGACAGUUCGGUCCCUAUCUGCCGUGGGCGUUGGAAGAUUGAAAGGGGCUGCUCCUAGUACGAGAGGACCGGAGUGGACGCACCACUGGUGUUCGGGUUGUCAUGCCAAUGGCAUUGCCCGGUAGCUAAGUGCGGAAGAGAUAACCGCUGAAAGCAUCUAAGCGGGAAACUUGCC